AAUAUUAAUAACUGAGGCAAAAAGUUGUAUUUUUCCUAUUAACAGGGCAGUGGGAAAGAACAGCAAAGUAGUGGCCUGGAAGAAAUAAGAGAGUCACUCAGGAAUCAUGGAGUGCAGUUGGAAUUAGAAUACUCUUCUUUGAUACACGACCGGGAAAUUAGGUUCAACAAUGGAUGGAUGAUUAAGAUCGGAAGGGGACUUGAUUAUUUUAAGAAACCACAGAGUCGUUUUUCCCUUGGAUAUUGUGAUUUUGAUUUAAGACCAUGUCAUGAAACGACAGUGGACAUUUUUCAUAAUAAGCACACACAAAAAAUAUGAUGGGUAGUAGCCUAAUUUACAUUAUAUAUUUCUAUUUUAAAUGAAUAUUCGAUUUUUUUUUUUACUUUGGACAGAUCAUUCCUAUAAUGUAUGAA